GUGCAAUCCUAAUUAAACAUUCUAUGAAAGUGGAUUCUUCCGCGAAGGGUGGCGUCCUGAUCCGCCAAAUCCAUUUCGCAGGCGUUUCAUUCAUAAACAGAAGACUUAGGCAAAAAGAUCGCAGAGUGUGUGCUGAGCAUUUGAGUGGUGCGGGUAUGGUCGUGUAAGUCUCAACGCAUGGGAACAAAUUGCUGUUGCCCAAGGAAAGAGGAAAAGAAACCGCGUGAUAUGAGCAAAUCAUUUUCGACUUGGGUCAAACAUAUUGAUUCUUUGAUGUCAUUCCUGGGAAGUCUUCUUCAGAAAUGCGGCCCACCAGAAGAAAAUGUGCAGGGCCCGAGAAAGACAGGAGUCUAGAAGCGGAACCAUGGUCUUCGUAUUUGCCACGGUCGAUCUCACUGAAGAUCCUCCCAAUGUUGAUUCGGACUCUCUGCCUGCUUCUCGAUCAUCAGCGGUUUGCUUGCCAUAUACUCCCGGCUGCAGUUUCAAGAAACCGAUAACAUCCUGCCAGGCCGUUACCGGGGCUUUGCUGCGCCAGACAAUUCAGUCUUCCGAAUCUGGUUUUUUCAUGUUGUAGGCCAAGUGAAUCUCUCUAGUUUCCAGGUUCUGAUCUGGAGGUUCGCCAAGGACGCCUUAAAAGGAAGGUUCGCUUUCCGUGAGCUACAGGCAACUACCAACCACUUCAGUGAUGAAAAGAUUGUGGCUAGGGGCGGGUUUGGUCAUGUAUAUGAAGGACUCGGCAGACGGCUCUCGAGUGGCCCAUAAAAAGAAUCACCAAGCAUUCCCAUCUCUGCAUGAUCAUGGCAUAAUUCGUCGGUACAUUAAGCCCCAGAACAUCCUGCUGGGGGAGAACUUUGAGGUUUGUAUUGUCGAUUUUGGGAUGGCCAUCUUCAUGGACAACGAUGAAGAGAAGGGUGUUUCCAGGUAAACCAGCUUCUUUAGCCUCAGCUUUCUUCACAGGCAAAUAGGCAGGACGUGCAGUUAUCUUGAUCUGGAGUACUCCGAGAGUGGAAUGUGCUCGGUGAAGAGUGAUGUCCAUAGUUCUGGCGUGACCCUUCUCGAACUCGCCAUCGGUUGAUGUGCUCAAAGAAGGAUCAGUCCUCCGGGGCUGCUGCUACCUGAAUGGGCAGGCAUGCUUGUCGAAGAUAAAGAGAUGGAAAGGCUAGUCGAUGCUGACAUACGGAACGGGUAUAAGGAAAGCGAAGUCAAGAGAAUGAUCCAGCUAGCUCUAGUUUGUGUGCAAAUCGACCCCAAAAGACGACCUGAUAUGACGGAAGUAGUCCAAAUUCUGGAAGGGGCUAUUAGCUUGGAGAAGAGAUGGGAGGAGUACCAAAAUGGACAUGGCGGACUCUGGUUCUUGUCUCCGCCACGAAGACUUAUCAAUAACACAUCCUAGAUAAUCAUUCCCUGGAGUUGUUGCUGAGUUGAAAAAUCGGCGAUGAGAGUGUCCUGAUUCCAAGAGUUACGUGACUUCUGGUGUAACCUGGAUGAUGAUUGUGCUGCUUUUAUGCUUAUUUGCUUAUGUUCAUUUGACUCUUAGGUUGUUAUAUAGUGAGACUUCAUCCAA